AAUAGAUACCCAGGUAGUCCACGCCGUAAACCGUUGGGCACUAGGUGUGGGGUCUAUUCAACGGACUCCGUGCCGUAGCUAACGCAUUAAGUGCCCCGCCUGGGGAGUACGGCCGCAAGGCUAAAACUCAAAGGAAUUGACGGGGGGCCCGCACAAGCAGCGGAGCAUGUUGCUUAAUUCGAGGCAACGCGAAGAACCUUACCUGGGUUUGACAUGUAGAGAAAAGCCAUAGAGAUAUGGUGUCCCUUCGGGGUUCUACACAGGUGGUGCAUGGUUGUCGUCAGCUCGUGUCGUGAGAUGUUGGGUUAAGUCCCGCAACGAGCGCAACCCUUGUCCUAUGUUGCCAGCACGUCAUGGUGGGGACUCGUAGGAGACUGCCGGGGUCAACUCGGAGGAAGGUGGGGACGACGGUCAAAUCAUCAUGCCCCUUAUAUCCAGGGCUGCAAACAUGCUACAAUGGCCGGUACAAAGGGCUGCGAAACCGCGAGGUGGAGCGAAGUCCCAUAAAGCCGGUCUCAGUUCGGAUUGGAGUCUGCAACUCGACU
rnacentral:rRNA from 1 species